rnacentral:rRNA from 1 species
CACCAUGGGAGUUUGUUGCACCAGAAGUAGCUAGCCUAACUGCAAAGAGGGCGGUUACCACGGUGUGGCCGAUGACUGGGGUGAAGUCGUAACAAGGUAGCCGUAGGGGAACCUGCGGCUGGAUCACCUCCUUAACGAA